rnacentral:rRNA from 1 species
AGAGUUUGAUCCUGGCUCAGAGCGAACGUUGGCGGCGCGCCUAACACAUGCAAGUCGAACGCGAAUUGUCUUCGGACAUAGUAGAGUGGCGCACGGGUGAGUAACACGUGAGUAACCUACCCUGGGGAUCGGGAUAACAUUCCGAAAGGAGUGCUAAUACCGGAUAAGACCACAGCCUCUGCGGAGGCAGUGAGAAAAGG